UCUGGUGGCCUAGUGGUAGAAUGUCCUCCUCGAACGUGGGGGGUCACGGGUUUGAACCCCGGCCUAGUCAU